rnacentral:rRNA from 1 species
GAUGAACGCUGGCGGCGUGCCUAAUACAUGCAAGUCGAGCGAACGGACGAGAAGCUUUCUUCUCUGCUGUUAGCGGCUGACGGGUGAGUAACACGUGGAUAACCUACUUAUAUGACUUGGAUAAUUUCGUGAAACCGGAUCUAAUACCGCAUAAUAUUUUGUACCGCAUGGUUCAAAAGUUCAUGACGGUCUUGCCGUCACUUAUAGAUGGUUUCGGGUUGCAUUAGCUAGUUGGUAAGGUAACGGCUUACCAAGGCAACGAUGCAUAGCCGACCUGAGAGGAUGAUCAGCCACACUGGAACUGAGACACGGUCCAGACUCCUACGGGAGGCAGCAGUAGGGAAUCUUCCGCAAUGGGCGAAAGCCUGACGCAGCAACGCCGCGUGAGUGAUGAAGGUCUUCGGAUCGUAAAACUCUGUUAUUAGGAAAGAACAUAUGUAUAAGUAACUGUCCACAUCUUGACGGUACCUAAUCAAAAAGCAACGGCUAACUACGUG